rnacentral:rRNA from 1 species
GACGAACGCUGGCGGCGUGCUUAACACAUGCAAGUCGAACGGAAAGGCCCUGCUUUUGUGGGGUGCUCGAGUGGCGAACGGGUGAGUAACACGUGAGUAACCUGCCCUUGACUUUGGGAUAACUUCAGGAAACUGGGGCUAAUACCGGAUAGGAGCUCCUGCUGCAUGGUGGGGGUUGGAAAGUUUCGGCGGUUGGGGAUGGACUCGCGGCUUAUCAGCUUGUUGGUGGGGUAGUGGCUUACCAAGGCUUUGACGGGUAGCCGGCCUGAGAGGGUGACCGGCAAGAGGGGGCGGGAGGGGCGGCGAGGGUGGCGGCGGGAGGCGGGGGGGGGGAAUGUGGAAAGCGGGGCGGACGCCGCGUGCAGGAGCGGCGGGGGGGGGAGGGCGGCUGUGGGGUUGGAACCCGGUGGGGGUUGGCAAGAUGCGGGGGUGGCGGUAGUGGGGAAAGAAGCCCCGGCUAACGACGGGCCAGCCGCCGCGGAAAGACGCGGAAGCGCACACGUCCGACC